UAAGGCAAGGAAACAAAAAAU
rnacentral:piRNA from 1 species